rnacentral:rRNA from 1 species
CCCUUAGAUGUCCCGGGCCGCACGCGCGUUACACUGAUGCAUUCAACGAGCCUAUAACCUUGGCCGAGAGGCCUGGGCAAUCUUGUUAACGUGCAUCGUGAUAGGGAUAGAUUAUUGAAAUUAUUAAUCUUGAACGAGGAAUUCCUAGUAAACGCAGAUCAUCAAUCUGCAUUGAUUACGUCCCUGCCCUUUGUACACACCGCCCGUCGCACCUACCGAUUGGAUGGUCCGGUGAAGCCUCGGGAUUGUGGUUCUUGCCGCUUUAUUGUGGCGUGACCGCGAGAACUUGUCUAAACCUUAUCAUCUAGAGGAAGGUGAAGUCGUAACA